CUGGCCUACUGAGCUCCUCCAGAAUUCUGCGUGUGUUGCUUUGGAUUUCCAGCAUGGGCAGGGUCGCUCGUGUUCCGAAGUUCGGGUGCUAUGUAGCAGUUUUGCAAGACUCUGAUUCUGGUUAAGCUCUGUCGAGAGAUGAGAUGGACUGCAAAUAGUGGUCAGAUCAAUUUUAUUUGCGCAGAAACACAGAAACACAAGAGAAACCAAGACUGAAAAACUGACAAAAAACACAUAAUUAUAACGUAUAGUUACAACAGUGCAAAGCAAUACCGUAAUUUGAUAAAGAACAGACCAUGGGCACGGUAAAAAAAAAAGUCUCAAAGUCUCUCGAAAGUCCCAUCAUCUCACGCAGACGGUAGAAGGAAGAGAAACUCUCUUCCUGCCAUGAACCUCCAGCGCCGCAAACUUGCCGAUGCAGCAUCCUGGAAGCACCCGACCACAGCCAACUCUUGAGUCCGUCUGAAAACUUCGAGCCUCCGACCAGCCCUCCGACACCGAGCACUGAGCACCAUCUCUGCCGAGCGCUUCGACCCCAGCCCCGGCAACAGGCAAUAGGCAAAACUGAGGAUUUGGGGCCUUCUCCUUUGAAGAUUCUCGAUCGCACAGUAGCAGCGGCAGUGAAGCAGGCAUUUCAGAAGUUUCUCCAGAUUUCCUGCGUGCUUCUCACGGCUGUCUCCAUCAAAUCAGGAUUGUGCACGGUACCUACUUACAAGUACGAUAUCAUUUUGGUGCGGCCGCGUGCGCUGCAUCGCGCCGCCACCUUCUCCUUCCCCCCGAAUUUUUAUGUGUUUACAGAUGUGGAUAUGGAUAUGGAUUUGGAUGAUGGACUAUGCACAUUUUUCAAUUCAUAUAGUUUUUCAUAUUCUGUGUUCUUUGCCUGUUCUUUCUUGUCUUUCUUAGUGAGGGGGAGGGGGAUUUGGUGGUCAACGUUCUUGUGACAUUUUGUACAGAGGGAUGGGAUGUCUGCAGGUCAAUGUUCUUGUUGCAUUUUUGUUCUUUUCUCUUGUGUUGGUCGGGGGAUUUGGGGGUUGAUAAUUGUGUUGCCUUUUUUUUGUUGGUUUUGUGGCUAUCUGGGGAAGAAGAAUCUCAGAGUUGUAUACUUUGAUAUUAAAUGAACCUUUGAUCAUUUGAUAUACAUAGUUUGACAAUAAGUUUACUUUUAA